rnacentral:rRNA from 1 species
GACGAACGCUGGCGGCGUGCCUAAUACAUGCAAGUCGAGCGGACUUGAAGGAGUGCUUGCCCUCCUGAGAGUUAGCGGCGGACGGGUGAGUAACACGUAGGCAACCUCCCCUCGAGACUGGGAUAACUACCGGAAACGGUAUCUGAUACCGGAUAAUUUAUUACAUAGCAUUAUGUGAUAAUGAAAGACUGAGCACUCUGUCACUUGGGGAUUGACCUGCGGCGCAUUAGCUAGUUGGUGGGGUAACUGCCCACCAAGGCGACGAUGCGUAGCCGACCUGAGAGGGUGAACGGCCACACUGUGACUGAGACACGGCCCAGACUCCUACGGGAGGCAGCAGUAGGGAAUCCUACGCAAUGGGCGAAAGCCUGACGGAGCAAAGCCGCGUGAGUGAUGAAGGUUUUCGGAUCGUAAAGCUCUGUUGCCAAGGAAGAACGUCUCAUAGAGUAACUGCUAUGAGAGUGACGGUACUUGAGAAGAAAGCCCCGGCUAACUACGUG